UCCAGCAUGGUACCUACGAAUGAAGCUCCUACAAUCACAAGAUUCUUCCCAGUUGCCAGCUCUAAGACCUUGCUAGAAUCCUCUGGGGUUUGAAGAUGACACACGUUCUGCAGGUCUGCACCUGGGACUUCGAGGAAGCUGGAGCUGAGAGAGAGAGAGAACCAAGAAGAGCUCCAAUCCCCACAAAUGAACCAUUUUGUCCCAUCAGAAAAGGUGCAUGUGACAAAUGCUUUGUGCACUCACUGUCCACCUGUUGCAAUGAGCAGCUGGUUGUACUUCUGAGAGGAUCCGUCCAUGAAGCAAACCUUCUGCUUCUGGAAAUCCACUGACGCUGCCUGCAGGAGAGAGGAGGUGAAGAUCAAGGAGGCAUUUUUCUGGGCCACUUCUGUCCUGUCACAUCAAUUCUCCUCCUCAUGGCAGGAAGAGAACCAUCCACUGAGGACUGAUCUCAGCUGCUUUUGCACCUCUUUCUCUGUCCAGAGCUCUAUGCCAUGAGCGCACAGGAAUUCAGGCUUCCUCAGGUAGAUGUCCUCAGCUUUUAAAUUCAUUUCCUGGAAGCAAAGCAGAAGUAUGAAAUAAAGCAGUUCUUACAGUCAGCAGUGCUCUUGCAGUUUACUGGGAAGUAGGUUUGCAUUAGAAGCAAAUCCUGCACUAGCACAUCAUGGCUACUCACACUGUCCCAUCCCCAUCACUUCCAUGCUCCUCCUCAAAGUGGGAAGAACUCAGCCAGAGGAUAAAGCCAUUUGCUAAUGGUGUACUCUGAUCAAGAGGAAGUGAGACACUAGCUGGAAAUGACACCCAUUUUUCUUGCCUGAUAGCUGCCUUGCCAGAAUGGAUCACCUGAUCACUCAACCUGGUUCUGAGCAUGGGCUGUGCCCCUAAUUCACACACAUUACCCAGGCACAGUCCUUUCUCACCGACAAACCUUGCUCAGUUUGGACUUGUCAUACGGAGCAUGUUUCUCUUUGGUGGCCAUGAUGAUCCUGCCAGUAAAGCCCUCUUGGCGAAGUGUCUCUGCACAGGUCAGGGCAGCCACACCUAUGAGAGAUGCUCAUCUCAGCCUUGUUAUGCAUCACCGCAGAGUGGGAGGCAGAAGAUGAGUCCUCCUUGGGGAUGAGAUUGGCAGCUCACAGUGUCUGUAGUGAGGAUGUGGUACAGACCACUUCACUGACCUCCCCCCAGGAGAAGCAUGGUGUUCCGGUUGAGAAGGCAUCGUUUGCUCAUGUCCUUCACCCUCAGGCUGCUUUCAAGAUCCUAGAAUAAAGUGAGAGAUGAUUAAAUUGUACCCA